rnacentral:rRNA from 1 species
AGCUUUAUGAAUUUUAUAUAAAGUAAAACCUGCCCAAUGAUUAUUUUUAAUGGCCGCAGUACCUUGACUGUGCUAAGGUAGCAUAAUAAAUUGACUUUUAAUUGGAGCCUUGAAUGAAAGGGAUAAUGGAUAACUACUGUUUCAUAUUAAAUUUUUAAAACUUUCUUAAAAGGUGAAAAUUCCUUUUUAAAAAUAAUAGACGAGAAGACCCUAGGAGUUUUUAAUUUUGUUGGGGCGACAGUGUAGCAUAUAACCUACAUAAACAUAUAUUAUAAAACGAAAUAUUUUAAUUAAAUUUAAACUACCCUAGGGAUAACAGCAUAAUUUAAUUUUAAGAUUGUGACCUCGAUGUUGGAUUAGGAACUUUUAAAGCUAGCAGCGUUAAUUGGAAGUUCUGUUCGAACUUUUUUUACCUACA